rnacentral:rRNA from 1 species
GACGAACGCUGGCGGCGUGCUUAACACAUGCAAGUCGAACGGAAAGGCCCCUUUGGGGGUACUCGAGUGGCGAACGGGUGAGUAACACGUGAGUAACCUGCCCUUGACUUCGGGAUAACUUCAGGAAACUGGGGCUAAUACCGGAUAGGAAUCCUUGCUGCAUGGUGGGGGUUGGAAAGCUUCGGCGGUUUUGGAUGGACUCGCGGCUUAUCAGCUUGUUGGUGGGGUAGUGGCUUACCAAGGCUUUGACGGGUAGCCGGCCUGAGAGGGCGACCGGCCACAUUGGGACUGAGAUACGGCCCAGACACCUACGGGAGGCAGCAGUGGGGAAUAUUGCACAAUGGGCGGAAGCCUGAUGCAGCAACGCCGCGUGCGGGAUGACGGCCUUCGGGUUGUAAACCGCUUUCAGCAGGGGCGAAGCUUGUGGUGACGGUACCUGCAGAAGAAGCACCGGCUAACUACGUG